GAUGAACGCUGGCGGCGUGCCUAAUACAUGCAAGUCGAGCGAACAGACGAGGAGCUUGCUCCUCUGACGUUAGCGGCGGACGGGUGAGUAACACGUGGAUAACCUACCUAUAAGACUGGGAUAACUUCGGGAAACCGGAGCUAAUACCGGAUAACAUGUUGAACCGCAUGGUUUAACAGUGAAAGACGGUCUUGCUGUCACUUAUAGAUGGAUCCGCGCCGCAUUAGCUAGUUGGUAAGGUAACGGCUUACCAAGGCAACGAUGCGUAGCCGACCUGAGAGGGUGAUCGGCCACACUGGAACUGAGACACGGUCCAGACUCCUACGGGAGGCAGCAGUAGGGAAUCUUCCGCAAUGGGCGAAAGCCUGACGGAGCAACGCCGCGUGAGUGAAGAAGGUCUUCGGAUCGUAAAACUCUGUUAUUAGGGAAGAACAAAUGUGUAAGUAACUAUGCACGUCUCGACGGUACCUAAUCAGAAAGCCACGGCUAACUACGUG
rnacentral:rRNA from 1 species